AGUGGUGUAGCUCAGAGGUAGAGCACUUGCCUAGUGAAUGAGAGGCCUGGGUUCCAUCUCCAACACCUCGA
rnacentral:tRNA from 1 species